UACGUAGGGUGCGAGCGUUGUCCGGAAUUAUUGGGCGUAAAGAGCUCGUAGGCGGUCUGUCGCGUCGAUCGUGAAAACUUGGGGCUUAACCCUGAGCUUGCGGUCGAUACGGGCAUGACUGGAGUUCGGCAGGGGAGACUGGAAUUCCUGGUGUAGCGGUGAAAAUGCGCAGAUAUCAGGAGGAACACCGGUGGCGAAGGCGGGUCUCUGGGCCGAUG
rnacentral:rRNA from 1 species